GAGUGCGAUCAAUUACGAUUGGCUGCUGCUGUUGUUAAUGGCAGUGUUCUGUGAUGUCCACCACCACUGCUUUCUUCCAGCUGAAGAGGAAGUAUCCGGCACCUGCACCCAAUGCCACGGCAAUGCAGAGGAUUGUCCCAUUUGGUCCAGGAACAGGCAUGGAGUUAUAACGAACAUUAACCUGUGAUUUCCGAAGCAAACAUUCCCGACUGAUUUUCAGCCCCUCGUAAGCCAAUGCACAGAGGAAGACAACCACGCAGGCACCAACCAUCCCUGCAGGAGAAAAUCCAGCAAAGGGAAGUUUAACACACAGCACCACAUGCAAGAACGGAAAAUGCAAACAGGCUGCCAGCCACACAGAGGGAAAGAAUGAGUCACUGCAUUUAGGAGAAGAAAUAUAAAAACCAAGACGGAAUAAAAAAUAGUAGCAUUUCCUGCAUAGUCCUGAGGUGAGAAAAUGUAGCUGGCUAAAUUGAGUUUUGGACCAGGUUAUUCACAACAUGUUCCAUUUAUGUUUACAUCACAGCGACAUAUGUGGCAAUAUAAUCAUAAGACUUACAACUUCAGAAGGCAGCAGUUAAUAAGCUUCGAACUCCGCUCCAGAGCCUGAAAAAGAUUGAACUUUGUCCCAGGUCUCAUGGCCUCUGUGGAUUUACUGCUGCUCACUCUCACUGACCCAAACUUUCAUUAGAAACAAGGACCCCUUUCCUUUCAGAAAUGCUGACUUGGUUAACGUUACAGACAAGAUUUCACACCAUUUGUUGUCUGUUUUGGAAUGUUCUCCGCUAACGUGUAUGAAAAUUAAGAAAAGUGGAAAGGUUUAGAAUAAAAAAAUCAAGCCAUCAA